UACGUAGGGGGCAAGCGUUGUCCGGAAUCAUUGGGCGUAAAGCGCGUGUAGGCGGCUUGGUAAGUCCGCUCUGAAAUCCCGGGGCUCAACCUCGGAACAGCAUUUGAAACUACAUCUCUAGAGGGUAGGCGGAGAAAACGGAAUUCCACAAGUAGCGGUGAAAUGCGUAGAUAUGAUGAAGAACACCAGGUGGUCGAAGGCG
rnacentral:rRNA from 1 species